CUGUCAGAUGGGAUGUGUGAAUAAAAUUACAGAUAACCCUGUGAAGCUGCUCAGUGAAGGUGCUUUAUAAGGUGUUGGUGGAGACAGGAAUGCUUCCUCUGAAGGCCCCAGUGCUGCAGCAAGAGGAGCAGUACGCCCAGGCAUUGUCAUGGCUCCGGUUUGCUGGACUGUCAUCUUGCCCCUCAGCAGCAGCAAAAUUUCUGCAUAACAUCGUCUAUCCAAGACAAACAACCUCACAAAGGGCCAGAUUUACCUCCUUGCUGGCAUCUGCUAUGGCAGCAGCAAUGAUGGAGAAGACAAAAUUGUUGUCCACUGACGGUACCUCAGUGACUGGUGCUGGAUGGAGUUCCCGGCAAGCUGCUUCUGGAAAGUCUCACAGUACCAGUUUUGGGUUGAACAACAGCAAGCAACACCCCACCAUAGGCACGACUGGAGUGAGAAGCUUUACCAAGGUAGGAAAAAAAAAUAAAACCCUUUUACCUAGGUUAGGAAGGGAGGGGAGACUUCAGUACCUAAGUCUCAUUUUACCAGGGGUUUAG
rnacentral:lncRNA from 1 species